CGCACUAUUGGGUCUCCAAUUAUAUUGAGUUGAGUAUUGAGGGCAGCCUAGUCUAGUCCAGUCGUUUCGUGUUCAUACUUUACAGCUAAAUCUUGACACGUCAAGUGUUGAAAUGAUUGAUGCCACUUGUUCCAAUCCUGACACUGCGUCUCACUCCAAUUACUGGGCACUGAGUCCACCUUGGACCUGCUUUGAAGCUUAGUCUCACUGGCCACUAGCGGAACAUUGGUCACACAAGGGCUCCGUGUCUUAUAAG